rnacentral:rRNA from 1 species
GACGAACGCUGGCGGCGUGCUUAACACAUGCAAGUCGAGCGGGAAACUUCGGUUUCCAGCGGCGGACGGGUGAAUAACACGUGGGCAACCUGCCUCACAAUGAGGGAUAGCCUUCCGAAAGGAAGAUUAAUACCUCAUAACACAAGAGAAACGCAUGUUUCUUUUGCCAAAGAAUUUCGUUGUGAGAUGGGCCCGCGGCGCAUUAGCCUGUUGGUGAGGUAACGGCUCACCAAGGCUUCGAUGCGUAGCCGACCUGAGAGGGUGAUCGGCCACAUUGGAACUGAGACACGGUCCAGACUCCUACGGGAGGCAGCAGUGGGGAAUAUUGCACAAUGGAGGAAACUCUGAUGCAGCAACGCCGCGUGAGUGAUGAAGGUCUUCGGAUUGUAAAGCUCUGUCUUCUGGGACGAUAAUGACGGUACCAGAGGAGGAAGCCAUGGCUAACUACGUGCCAGCAGCCGCCGUAA